UUUUUUGCAGUUUCCUCAAAAGGUGAACAAAAAUAUUUUACUGACUCUGAUUCAUACUACAUAAAAUUCUUCUUUAAGAGAAACCAAAUUUUACUAUUGUAUUAGUGUAUUAUCAACACGAAAGUUAAUUUGACUAAAACCUUACAAACAAAUUCAUCCAAUCUCGGGCAGCUUUUGAACACACAAGAUAAGAUUUUCAUAAAACUUUUUUAGCCUCUCACAAAAUUUUUCUAUUUUAUCUUUCCCCAAAUUUUUAUACCCAUGUAAUUUUAUCUAUAUAUUUUAUUUCUUCAAUUUGAAAUAAACUUGAAAUAGCUUCUAAACUAGACAAAAUUAUUUUUUUCAACAUACACACAUCUUCAUGCCUUUACAACUUUCCUCACCAAAAAUAUAUCUUCCAUUUUUAAAAAAAUACAUUCUGUAUAUAAAAUUGUUUCUUUUAUAUCUGGUAGUUUUAUUUACAUAUAUUAACCUUAAUUUUAACUCUUAAUAACCCUAAUUUCUAGCAAAAACCUAGGAAGUAAUUUUAAACUGUUUUAUAUCAGUAUUUGUAGAUGAAAAUCAUUUCCUAAUGUUUUAAGAAAGAUGUUUCUUCAGUUUUUCUUAUUUAUUAACAGAUCUAAUUAUAUUUAGCUUCUCUAUACUAUGUAAAAGUAAGAUGCCAAGAUAUAUAAACUUAAACUUAGGUUAAAUAAUUAAUGUUUCAAUAUUUUAACUUACUUAGAAAUAACUCAAACAUGUUAUGACUAUCUAUUGGUUAAUUUAACAGAUUAAAGAUUUUAAAUUACUGAAAAGAAUUUUCAAACUAUGACAUAGGUACCCUCCCGAAUAUCUUCCCUAAUCAUCCUGGGCCCUAAGUACCCAUAUGGCACCCAAGGCAGUUCUGUAGUGAAGGGCUCAUCUGGGUCUUGAAUUUACAUACCAGGUGUAGAGGUCAGGACAGAGGACAACUGUGAAGAUGAUACCUGGAGGAUCAAACCCCUCCUGGCAUGGCCAGCUGGCAACACUGGUUCAGGGAGAAUGUGCCAUUGGAGGUUGGCUUUGCUUUGCAGAGAGUGGUCCAGGCACUGAGGACAUAUUCCCAGGCCUCACCAUGGUCACCUUGUUACCAGCAGUGAAUCCAUGUGGGUCUGCAUCAGCCUCAAUUCUUGCCUCCUCAGAAGAAAGAAUUUGACUCAAGGGCAUAAGGCAGAAGGAGAGAGAGUCAAGUUUUAAAGCAGGAGUGAAGUUUGUUAAAAAACUUUACAGCAGGAACAAAAGGAAAUAAAAUACAUUUGGAAAUACUUGACCCUCUAUAUUUGGAAAAGGGCCAAGCAGAUGACUUGAGAGAUCAGGUGCAUGAUUCGACCUUUGACUUGGGGUUUUAUAUGUUGGCAUACUUCUGGGGUCUUGCAUACCUUCUUCUGUUAUUCUUCCUUUGGGUUGGCUGUCCGCAUGAGCAGUGGCCUGCUAGCACUAGGGAGAGGAGCAUGUGCAGUGUGUUUACUGGAGAUGUAUGCAUGCUCACCUGAGGCACUCUUCCCUUAUCAAACGUCCC
rnacentral:lncRNA from 1 species